GAUGAACGCUGGCGGCGUGCCUAAUACAUGCAAGUCGAGCGAACAGACGAGGAGCUUGCUCCUCUGACGUUAGCGGCGGACGGGUGAGUAACACGUGGAUAACCUACCUAUAAGACUGGGAUAACUUCGGGAAACCGGAGCUAAUACCGGAUAACAUGUUGAACCGCAUGGUUCAACAGUGAAAGACGGUCUUGCUGUCACUUAUAGAUGGAUCCGCGCCGCAUUAGCUAGUUGGUAAGGUAACGGCUUACCAAGGCAACGAUGCGUAGCCGACCUGAGAGGGUGAUCGGCCACACUGGAACUGAGACACGGUCCAGACUCCUACGGGAGGCAGCAGUAGGGAAUCUUCCGCAAUGGGCGAAAUCCUGACGGAGCAACGCCGCGUGAGUGAAGAAGGUCUUCGGAUCGUAAAACUCUGUUAUUAGGGAAGAACAAAUGUGUAAGUAACUAUGCACGUCUUGACGGUACCUAAUCAGAAGGCCACGGCUAACUACGUG
rnacentral:rRNA from 1 species